CCCGCGAUCCGAGGGCUUGGAAGUUGCUAGGACCUGCCUUUGUGGGGACCAGGCCUGCGGUUCUGGUUUGCAGCUCUGGCACCACUCAGGGCCCUGCUCCCCUACUUGCCUGCUGCCACACGACUCAGCCUUGGCGCCGAACUAAAGCUGAUGGAAAAACCUAGCUAUCUGGAGCAUUGUCAAUCUCAUGGCAGAAAGAAAAGGACAAAGCAAAUGGUGCCCUGACUUCCAGAACUCAGCACAAAAGUGACCAACAUCACUUCUUUGAGUAAAGCAAGUCGUGUAGCCAUUCCUGAGGUCCACAGCCUGGGAAUAUACCUGCCUACAGCAAGGAGCACGACACAGGGAAGAAGCUGAAACGUUUAGUGCAUGAGGACACGUCUCCACCAGCUCCUCCAAGGAUGACUUCUUUCCCAGAGUGUGGAACCCAACACAAGGCUUGAACUCAUGGACCCUGAGACCAAGACCUGAGCUGAGAUCAAGAGUC